rnacentral:ncRNA from 2 species
UACAUGCAAGUCGAGCGGAUCUUCGGGAGCUUGCUCCCGAUGGUCAGCGGCGGACGGGUGAGUAACACGUGGGCAACCUGCCUGUAAGACUGGGAUAACUCCGGGAAACCGGGGCUAAUACCGGAUGAUUCAUUCCCUCACAUGAGGGAAUGCUGAAAGACGGCUUUUGCUGUCACUUACAGAUGGGCCCGCGGCGCAUUAGCUAGUUGGUGAGGUAACGGCUCACCAAGGCCACGAUGCGUAGCCGACCUGAGAGGGUGAUCGGCCACACUGGGACUGAGACACGGCCCAGACUCCUACGGGAGGCAGCAGUAGGGAAUCUUCCGCAAUGGACGAAAGUCUGACGGAGCAACGCCGCGUGAGCGAAGAAGGCCUUCGGGUCGUAAAGCUCUGUUGUCAGGGAAGAACAAGUGCCGGAGUAACUGCCGGUACCUUGACGGUACCUGACCAGAAAGCCACGGCUAACUACGUGCCAGCAGCCGCGGUAAUACGUAGGUGGCAAGCGUUGUCCGGAAUUAUUGGGCGUAAAGCGCGCGCAGGCGGUCCUUUAAGUC